rnacentral:lncRNA from 1 species
GUCUUGAUAAGUUAUACAUCUAGAAGUAACGCUCCAUCAUGAGCUGUGGAAAAAUUAGUAAAUUAAUUGAUCUCAAUAAGUAGUCUAGGAAUAUUGUCAUCUAACCUUUCAAACAACAACCUGUGAAGAUGAAAACAUCCCACUUGUAUAUCUAUCCAAUUUGUAGACCUCGGAGCUAACAUUAAAAAUAAAGACAAAACCCUAAGUAAUAAUUCAAAAAAGAACACCUAACAACUAAAUCAAAUUGACAAGGUAGAAAAACACCAU